GAACGGAUCCGACCUCUCUGCUGUUCCUGGGAGCGAGCUCCUAUUCUCCCGUGCCCUCCCUGCCUUGCCUCUGACAACUUUUCCAGUGAAGAGGAUGUGGAAAAUAGACAUGGAAAUCUGUGAAUCCUAUGCUGGCAUCUGUAUGAAGGAUCAUUUUGUGGGAGGCUCUGUGUCUCAGCAGCUCCCUGAAGUGAGCACCAUGACAUGAAUCUGGAAGUGAAGAAGCCCUCAACUCUUCAGAAAAGAGCAGUUAUUCUUAGCUUUCUUUCGCUGAUGUUUUUCUUUCUUUCCCUCCCCUUUCUUUUUUUUAAAGAAAACAGAAAUCCUGCCAAAAUUUGGGUUCUUUGAUGUGCUUUGGAAAGAAAAACAAUGCUAUCUAUCCAAGUCCUCUGAAAGGAACAAAAAUAUGUCAUUUUCAGGCAUGAACUACUUGAGAAGAACAAUCAAUACAUUUCACAAUUAAAGAUGGUCUAAAGUUUUUUGAUAUUUUUCUGGAAAUUGUUUAUUAAUAAAAUUUCUGAGACGUG